CUUUGUGGAACACGUGUAAUCAACAAAAAUGUUUUGUGUUUGACUUUCACUCACUCAGAGUCACUGCUUCCUGUGUAAUUAAGUUUUGCUGCUUUUCUCUCAAAAUUCUCCACCAAUUAAAACACCAGGGCUCCAUUGAUCCUCACAAAAUGUUGCAAAAAUGUUUGCACUGUCUGCAGCUUUGAUUGGUAAAAAGUUUCAAACAUUUUGCUUUGUAUAAAUCAGAGCAUUACUGUCACAGUACCCCCAACUCAACCAACACAAGAUGAAUAGGUCCUCAUCAAACAUUCAUUAGAUAAGAUCUAAAAUUAAAUGUGUAAAAGCAGUUAAAGUAGCUGCACGAGAGAGAAAGAUAAAAAGCUGUGCAUAGUGAAUCUUCGCUCCGACGGCAGCUGAUUCUCAGUGUGCAGUCCAUCUCGCCAGCUACCUCAUUGCUUACAGGUGUAAUAACACAGAAUGAUCCAGUGCAGGAGUUCAGGGGCAGCUUUCAAGGAACAUUCUUUCUACACUCUUCUGCAGAAACAGCAGCUCAGCUGUGGUUUUUACAGCUUUCCUCCCAUUUUUAAUCAAAUGCGCAAUGUUCAGGAUUUGAGGUAAGAAUACUUUUAACCCAACCCUUUUCCAAACUACUAUUAAUGGAAUAAAGGUAAAUCAGGGAUCACCAACCCUGAUCCUGGAGAUCAGCUGCCGUGCCACUGCUGAUUGGCUGCUCAGCCAAUCCACAGUUAGGAAACACCAAACUUGAGAAAUCAUCUGUAGUGACCUCCAGCAGCAGGACUGGUGACCCUGGCAACGGUUACGUUUCAUGCAUCUAUAGAGGAAAUUUCACCUUGAUAUUGUAAUGUUGAGGUCACAUUGUGUGCUUUUGUAUUUUUUUUUUUAAUGGGUGCUUGCCCUGUCUCAUUCCCAGAACCCGCAUUCGUCUUGCUUGUUGUUCGGAGGACACUGGUACAACAAGCAGUCUCUGCAUAGAAAGUGAUGGGAAGUUCUUUCCUCCGAAACACCAAGUGGAAACACUGCGAGCUGCACUUCUAUUCAGACUGCAAGGACGUCCAUCAGUCAUCACUUCAUCCACGCUCAGGAAGCAGGUCCAACACCACGGUGUUGUAUUAAACUGCUCGUUGUUUUCACCUCUGGGUGUAGACCGAACUUUAUUUUGCUAGUGGGCUCUUCUGGCCACCGUACCUUUUGCCUGUAAAACAUUUUUUUUCUUUUCAUAGUAUUUUUUUUUUCCAGUAUCAGUACUUUGGCUUCUGAUAACUAGUUUUUAAGGUUGUUUUGUUAAUUCAAAUGUUGAAGCUGUAAAUUCUUUUUCAGAUGUUUUUGUAGUAAACACGAAAAAAACGUUUAGUUUUCACUUCUUAGAAACAAUGAUCACAGUCAGAGUGAGUCACAAGUUUAUUCUGAUGUACAGCUCCAUUUAAAAUUAAAAAAAAAAACUGAAGUUUGCAGGAUUUUAGUGAAGAAAAGCCUCAAAAGCAGUGACUCAUUCUGUCAGCAAACAGGCUCCACAUUCACUACAGAGACUUUUUCCUCCACCUGUUCCAGUUUGUGGGGAAAAGUUUCCAAAGUCUUUGGAAUCCAGAAAGGAGCUUGCCGAGUUCCAGUCUGUUGUCUGGAGUUUCUCAAAAGGCUCAUUUAUACGAGCAACAGCAUGAAGUAAAAGAAAACAGAGAAAAAGCAGCCACACACAUAUCAAGUCUGUUUGAUCAGGGAGGUUAAAUUAGACAGAAAAUAAGAAAUAAUCAGUUUUCGAGUUGUUGUGGCCAGCCCUUUGGCUGCCUCUCUCCCCUUCCCUUUUUCUGUUUUCCCUCCAGGUGGCGCGUUGCAGAGCCAAGGAACACCUGUUGCCCAUCAGCUACUCGCACCUGAGGCUCAUCUGUGGCUCAUCAGGAGUGGGUUACUUAAACCCCGGCUUUAAGCUCAGUGACUUCUGGAUUCUACAGGUGUCUCUCCAUGAGAAAUCCAUGACCUUGUCUAUGCUGACGCGUCCAUGCACGCUGACAUCUGAGCUUUCCACAGCUCAUCUCAAGAUGCUUUCCUGCCCAGCUUCCAUGCUUCGUGCUCCUGGUUCCCACGCCUCCUUCUGCACAAUGUCACUUUGGAACUCAUCUGCUCUCAGCCUCAGACCGCACAGCUCUGCCAGCGUUCAGCUACGUUCCUGCAUGUCUGUGAGAUCCUGUUCUCAUGCUGCUCCUGUUUGUGACUGUGCAUGACCAAGAACUGUUUCCAAGAACUAAUUCCAAGAACUGUUUUCCAAGAACUGUAUGAGCUCUGAUGUAGAACCACUAAGAUCUUUCCAAGUCAUUUCUAAAGUCAAGUCCAUCUUAAUUGGAACUGUGUCACAAGACGCACAACAGCUGGCCUCUGAAGACAAUUCAUGAACUGUGAAUGUUCCUGCCUUAAGCCUACAGUGAACUGUUGUGUUGAGGACUUCCAGUGUUACGAGUGCUAUCACUCACCUCUGUUCUCCUCCGUCCUCCUACUUCCUCGGCACUCUGCGUCCCACCUGGCCCCGGUUCCAGCUCCAUAUACUCCAGCUUGUUUUCAGACUCCCAAGUCUGUCCCUGUGUGCACUGCGACUACCGAACUUCCACCACUAUAUGUGGGCCCGGUCUCGGCUCAGCAGGCUUCCUCCAGCUCAGCACCUCAGUUAUUUAUUAUUGUAAAUGAAGCUCUCUUCGUUCACAACCUGUUCUGGUUCUUUCUCCCUACUGUUUAAGUCCGUCACCUGUACCGGUCCGGUCCCGUCCAGACCUCUAUCCACAACAUUUCUGUCCCGUAUACGUUCUGCUUCAGUGAACAGCUCUGUUAACUUUUUGUAAAAUGCAUCUCUGA